UUACAAAAUGGAUUAUGUGAACAUUGCUGAAUAACAAUCAUGUAUAUUAAAUGUAAUGCAGUUUAGCUUGACAUUAACCAAGUUAAAGGACAAUUAAAUUAACCGCACCAAACAUGUAGAAGUCAAUGUGGGAUUUUAAUGUAUAAACAAAAACACUUGACAGAAGUUCAAUACCAUUUUGUAAAGGAAAGCAGAGGAAAACAUUUUCCCAAAUUAAUCUUUUCAAAAUGUCACCACCAUUCCGGAAGGUGGUGAAGAGGUUUGUGUAAAAGCAGUCCUCCCUGACCAGUUCUGUCCCUGACUCUAAACCCUGACUCUCAACCCUAACGCAGAACCCUCUGAGGGCAGGAAGACGCGCCUUCAGUGUAAAGGUUCGAACAACAGAGAAGGAAGAAGAAGAGGAAGCAGUAGAGAGUAGUGAAGUAGUGAGGUUAGUGAAAGACGUGAGGGAAAGGCGUGUCGAAUCACGUUACAUGUGGGGUCAAGAAGAUCACUCCCACUGGAGGUCAUUGAUAAAUCAGCCUCAGACUGCUGAGCUCAGCAGGUCUUCUGGAGGAUGAGGCGCAGAUGAACUGAGGAGACGGGACCAGCAGGAUGCCAGGAUCAGGGCGGGUUCAGCUCAGGUGUUUCUGCCUGGACCAAACAAGGACAUUGAUUAGGUUCAAUAUUCA
ensembl:lncRNA